GCCUUCCGCCCCCGCCCAAGGGGAGGGUGGGGGAGGAAGGGGUGCCUCGGGUGGGCACCCACGCUGGGAGGCCCCGCGCCCAUCCUGGCCCGCUCUCGAAGUGGGGAGGGGGCGUUCUGGAAUGGGGUGGGAGCUAAAAUGAAGCAGGAAUCGAGGUUUCCCUCGCGCGGCUCUCCCCCGUCUCCGCAUUUGGGGAACCCCGAGGUCCUUCCCGCAGCCCCAGCGGUGGCCGUGACCGUGCCCGGUUAGAACUUGGGACCCAAGUUCACAACCCGGGAGCCCGAGGAUGGAGAUGGGGGGAGGGGGAACGAAGAGGAGGAGGGGCGGUCUAGACCAACUGAGCAUUUCCACCCAGGACCCUGGCUCCCCAGCCCCACCCAUCUCCGCCCCCACCCGCGUCCCGCUCACUCGGGUUUAGCCGGGUCCUUGUCCCGCCCGUUUGCUUGAGCCAAGGAGUCUGGCCGAGCGGCACCGGGCAGGCAGGAGAGGAGGCCCCUCCUUCCCUUCCCUCCCCGACCGGGCUCCCCCGGGAAACAGCGCUGCACAGAGCCCCGUUUGUUUAGCUCGGGAGCUCGUGUCCCCGGUUACAUAAUUCGCCUGACGGCAUCAGACCCCGGAGUGGUUCCGAAUCGCGCAGUGAGAAAGUGGGAGUUUUCCCGGGUCAAGCGCCUGGAUUCUCCCUGGACCGUGGUACUGUCAAAGGGAGCAAGGAAGGAGGCAGGGGCUCCUACGGCUUGGGUCUUGCUCCAAAAGAUGUCGAUGGAGCCGCGGGUUUGUGGGAGCUGGGGGCAAAACCGGCCAAGUAAGGUAGAAAGAUCAUGGAUUUUUAGAGCUAGCAGGAAGGCAAGGAGGUCAGGCAUUUUAGGUCUUUCAGUUUCCAAACAUCCAUUCCUUUGGGAAAGGAACAAGAGGAAAAUGGGUGGAAACUGACUUGUGGAGGAAGGAGGUGUAAAGAUUAGGAAGAAAUUCCACUGGGAGGAGGAAGGAGAGUUCUUUUCCGUGGGUCAACCUUUAAAUUCGAAGCCACUGGGUCUGUCUGAGCCAAGAAGAGGGAGCUGCUUAAUAUUUGGUGGGGAAGGAGUAGGUAUUGUUGAGGGAAGGGCCUUUGAAAUAAAGAUUAAGUUUAGACAUCCUUACUCUGAUGAGGGGGAGAAUGUCCCAUCCAUUCCUAUAGAGAUCUAAAGUAAGACAUUAGAGAGGAUAUUUUGAUUCUGGGAGUGUAGAGAUUCUGCCUCCUUGUACCAUGCCUGAGCUGUGGGUAAUUAAUGUCCCUUCACAUCACUCCUAUUAAUAACUCCCGCUGUCCGAAAUACCCAUUCUCCCAGCAUAACUGCCCCAGAGUCCUUUACUCAGGGCAGAUAGAACUGGUUUGAUGGGUUUUAGCCAUUCCUGGAUUCCAUUCUUUGAAUGAACUGGGGCUAAGUUUGUGCCCCCUUCAUGCAUCUCUCUCUUCUCUGUCUAAGCUGACCACUUCCUUAAGUAAAUAUGUCUUCCCAGUGGGCAAAAGCCAUCUAGAGAACUACAUGCCGUGGUUACACUGGGGUGUUCAGUUUGUGUUUAAGAACUGUUUGUUGUAUUUGCAAACAAAAUCUGUCUCCUCGAUAUGAGAAUUUAAAGUCUUUGACUACUUGGAUUUGUUGUACUUUAUUCUUGAACUGUUGUCUGAUUGUGAUCCUGCGUUCACUUAAGGUGAAGCUGGAGAGGAGUCAAGACCUCUCUAGCAACUUGUGAUGGCUUGCUGAGGUCCAGAGAGGUGGGAAUCCUUCCUGAUCAUCCUUAGGGGAGAGGCCCCCAGAAGCCUGGCCUCUCUCAUCUGACAUGAUUAAAAGUGUCCAAAGAAAGCCACUCCCAAGGUCUCUGGAUACUGUCCUCGGCAGCAUUUCCUGUCCUCUCACUCCCCAGCUCUCUCCAGGAAAUCUAUGGGAACAGAAAGUCCACGUACUAUAGCUGUUUAACACCCCACCAAAACAAGUUUGGAGAUAAGCAAGGAGUCACACUCCCAUUUCCCUUUGAUGUGACUAGAUUUUUCGAUUCCAGCCAAGACCUCAGAAGCAGAAAUCGUAGGUCUGUAUCUUCUGAAGGUAGAGUGGCCUCUAGCCGUACCACAAAGGAAGAGCUUUCUCUCCCAUCUACUCCACUGACUUCUGGGAGCUAGCACAUUGGUACCGGUGCAGGGCUUCAGUAUCAGAUCUCUAUCCAGCCCUGUGGGAGGCCUCAUGCCCUCCUGCUGUGAAGCCUGUGCUUAUGGCCAACUGGUGCUGCUCCCUCCUCCCAGGCUGGAUCUGCUACACUCCCCAUCCUGAAAACAGAUGUCAGAAUCAGAGAAAGCAGGUGUUUGGCGACAGCUUGACUUGCCAAUGUGGGGAUUCUCCCAAUGCCAGAACAUUCCUGAUCCAAAGAGGUACCUAGAGGGAUCAUGGGCUUCCUUUAGGAGGGAAAAUUAAG